rnacentral:lncRNA from 1 species
CAGAGCCAGCCGAAGGCGCCGCGCCGGCUCGGGCUCCGCCGCCGACACCCGGCUGCUGAGGUCGCCGCGAGGGUUCGGGGACGCCUGCUCACUGCGUGGCUUCUCCCGGCCAGCUGUGCAGGCGGCUGGACCAGCAGCAGCGGCGAGGACUCGAGCGCGGGCUGCAGCAGCGACACCAUGGACCUGUCCUUUAUGGCCGCACAGGUUCGAGGCCACGGUCUCGCCCUCUCUGCCGGGGCUGGGCGCGCCGGGAGGCUUCAGGCCGGGCGGUGGCGCCCGCCGCGAGUCUAAGUCCCUGUCCUUUGUCCCGAGCUGGUAUCCCCACCUGGUGCUCGCUCAGGGGGUGGCGAGCCUGGCUUCCUGCGGGUGGGGCGCGCGGUGAUCUCAAAGCUCCCCGGGUCGACCUGUGCUAGGGGCCUGGGCAGUGGUCCCCUCCCUGCCCAUCCCCCAUCUGCUGUCCCCCUUCCGUUACCCCGGAGCCCUCCAAGGCGGGGCAGCCCAGAUCCGUGCGAACCCGGGUGGACAGGCAACCUCGCUCUUCCUAAUUCUCUGUCUUCUCGAGGCGCCGGAUAAUCCGUCACUUGCAGAUGAUCGCGGGCACCUCCCAUCUCACGUUUCUCCCCUUUGAAGGCAACCAUAGCCUGUGCAGCCCCGAGGAAGGCGGCGAGACCCGCUCUGUGACCAGCCAAGCGCCAGAGCACCGCGGUCAUUUUAUCCUUUUUUGCUUUGUGCCGGGUCUGUUAGCCAUCAGUGCCCCGCGCGACCAUAACUCUCCCCUGGACACAAAACAGAUUCCCAGUCGCAAAGAAAACAUGACUUCUCAUCGCUUGGUCUUUGCACCAGGAGCAUCCCCUAGAAGCUCUGUGGCGGGGUGAUCUUUAUGUUUCAUGCCUUAACUCUCUUGAGUCAGCUGCUUUGAGGAGCUGUCUGUGGCCUUUUGGAGUUACAGUCUGGCCACCACAUUUAGGCUGGGAGACUAAGUCCCCAUGUACCAAAUUCAGACCUUGCACCUUCUAGGGGGCUGGUUAUGCUGGGAGCCCAGUGAUAGGAAGGCCCCCUGGUUCCCUCUGCCCCAUAGGUGUGGGCCAGGCUGGCUGCUGUUUGCAUUUCCAGGGAAUGGAGUUUCAAGGGACACUUUCCUUGUCCCCCCAACUUCACCGUGGUGGAAGUCUAUUUAAAAAAUAAUGGCAGAACCUAGGCUGGAGGGACCAGGGGUCACCAGUACAGGCGUGGAUGGGUGCAGAACCCCCAAGUCGGCUCAAGGGAACCCAGAUUCUAGCUCUUGGCAGCUAGAAGUUUUUCAGAAUGCUGCUUGCUCCCAUGAGCAGUGCUGGUCUUUUUUUGUCUAAUUGUCUGUCUCCUGUUCCUAAACCCACGUUGACGACUCUGGUCAUGUGCACAUCACACAUCAACAGUGACUGUUGUUGUGUGAUGGCUGAGGAGGCUUCACCAGGUUUAUUUCUAGAGGGGAAAGGCACUCAAACAUCUACCUCUGCCUUUCCCUGCUGGAUCCUACCAAAGAGCUGGCGUUUCCAUGGUUACAAGAUAAAUUGAUUACUGUUCACCCUGGGGCUGGCUGGAGCAUCAGGAGUUGCUAUGGUAACUUGACAAAAUAAACAUUGGGCUUUUCAGCACCUAUCCGCAGAGCCUCUACAGAGAUUGGAUUUUUUUUUUUCUUUUUUGUUUACAAUUCAAGUUCAGUGUGAUCAUUUUAUUCCUGUAGUUGAAUGUUUGGGCAUCAAUUAUAUGCUCAGUCCUGAGCUAGCUGCAAAGACAGAAACACGAAGUGCGAUCAGAUGGAGAGAGAUGCUGAUGUUUGUUGAGCAUCUGCUAUGUGCCAAACAAGGGCUCUGACACACUUUAUUACAGUAAAUCCUUACCAGUCUGUGACGCUGGCACUGUUAUCCCAUUCUAUAGAUCAGCAUACCAAACUUCAGUGAAAUUAAACAAUUUGGCCACACACCAUUAGCAAGGAGGGAAAAUGGGUCUUAAAUCUGGAUCUGAGUAUCUGCAGAGCUGCUGGGUUUUCCACCUUAUUGCUGUAUCCUGAGAAAGACAAACGGAAGGGUCGGGGCAGACGUAUUUAAAGAUACUCACUCUUCUCCUUCCCCCGGAAGUGGUCUUAUGGUGCGUUGUGAUCUAAUGGAUUUCAUCUUGGUUUUGCUCUGCCUCUCUUAUCCCCACAAGGACAAGGGCUCUUACUUCAUCACCUGCAGCACUUAGCAGUGCUCAGCCACAGUGAGUGCUCAGCAUGUACCGUAAGUGGGCCGUGACCGAGUCAUGGUUCCCAUACAUCAGCAGAGGAUGGUUUGAUGGGAAAAAUGUGAAUGCCUCCAUCCACUUGUUCAGCCAGUGUUGAGUACCUGCCUUGUGCCAAGCUCCGUGUCAGGCACUGGGAUGGAGACGCUGGGGGAAAGCGUUGAAUGGAUUGGAGAUUUUCUUUCUGGAUGCUUGCAGAGUAAUGGAGAAAUAAUGGGCCAGGCCAUUCUCAGAAAGGGCAACCAAAAUACCUGGCAUGUACUAGGGCCUCCACAAGUAUCUGUUAGCUGCAAAGAUGUUGACAGGAAGAGUGAAUUCGAGGUGUCAGAUGCCCUCCCAAACACCUGUUGAUGAGCGCUUGAGGCUGGGUGUUCUAAUGAAAGGGAGCUAGGGGCAGAUUUCCCUUGGGGAAGCCUGGGAAUAAGGUCAUUCUAAGCAGAGAGGCAUGGAGGUAGGGAAGCCCAGAAUAAACUCCCAGAAUCCUUCAGGAAGCUGGAGGGUGGGGGGCCCAGUAGAACUGGGGAAGAGAGAGGGAGGCCAGGGCGAGGUUAUGGAAGUGACCAGCUGUCUGCCAGAGAUGAGAAGUUGGCAUCUCAGUGGACAGCGGGAGGAUUGUAGGUGAUUGGGCAGGGGAUGGUUGAAGCAGUGUCUUGGGGGAAAUCCCAGGCUUCAGGAGAGGCCAGAAGCUGGAGGGAUGGAUGGAGUCAGGAAUGCACACCUGCUUGAUCACAAACAGAUCCUUGUGACUCCAAAACCCCAAUCUCUUCCCCUCCACCAAGUUGUGAAAUAUGAUUCCUCUUCAUGAACUUAAGCAGACAUAGAAGAUUUAUGCUCUUUUAGACAGAGGUCCCUCUGCAAAGCUAAGCAUGAUGUGCGGAGUGGACGUCAGUUAUCCAGCAGGUCAUCUGGUGCAGAUGUGCCCUCCCUGGGUGUGUGGGGCUGUGCAUGUGGGAUUCGAAGAGGCUGUGAGUGCUAAAGAUAUAAAGACUCAGCUCGCCCCCAAACUCUGGAGGCCCUCAGCUGCCUCUUCUCCCACCCUGGGAACACCCCAGCCACACUCUCCACAGUCCCUGGGUCCCUGGAGACUCUAGAAGGAUGACGAGUGAACAGGUGCAUCCAGACCUCCUGGGAGCUGGGGAAGGGCGGAGAAGCACAGAUCCCAAGGAUUGAUCCCCAAUCCCUGUGUUGUUGGUGGGGUAGCCUGACUCCAGAGCUGCCCCAUCCAUUCCUUCCCUUCCUCCUGGGCUCUCAUGCCCCUGCCCCCAAUGAAAGGGUGGGGGAUCUGAUUCCCUCCCCUUAAAUCUGACCUGGCCUCAGUGAUUUUGCUGACCAAGACAAUGAGGCGUGAGUGACAGUCUGAGAUUAGCUGGUAAGAAACCUGCAGCCUCCAUGUGGGACUUUUGGAACGUGUGUUCUGUGGGAAGAGCCCACCGUCAUGCAUGAAACCCUGAGACCUCCACAUUUCGGGAGGGGAAGGAGCAUUUAAGGAACCUGCUGUGUGCUGGGCCGGUGCUUGGAAUGAACUAGAGGGACAAGGGGCCCUGCUCACUGUAGAACAAACAUGGCUGUGGCUUAAGAUUUUUGUCUUGCAUUGUCGCUAUAGUGACUACUCUAAAGCCAGUUGUUCCCAAAUGUUGCUGCCAUUAGAAUCACCUGGAGAUUUUAAGAGUUUUGCUGCCCAGGACCUGCCCCUGACACUCCCAUCCACGUCAGCAUCGACAUUUUUUUUUCACCCCUUGGGUGAGUCCAGUAUGCAAUCAAGGUUGCGACAGGGGAGUUCCUGUUGUGGCUCAGUGGGUUAAGAACCCGACACAGUGUCUGUGAGGACGUGGGUUCGAUCCUUGGCCUCACUCAGUAGGUUAAGGAUCUGGUGUUGCUGCAAGCUGCAGUGUAGGUCACAGAUGCGGCUCGGAUCCUGUGUUGCUCUGGCUGUGGUGUAAGCCAGCAGCUGUAGCUCUGUUUCAACCCCUAGCCCGGGAACGUCCAUAUGCCGCAGGUGCGGCCCAAAAAAGGACACACACACAAAAAAAAGGUUGAGACCCAGACCUUAAACCCACACUGUAGGGCUAUCCCUCUCCCCCUUCUCUGGAUGGAGCAGAUCCUUGGCUCUCUGGUCCCUUUUAGGUCGUAAAAAGUCACAUCAUCCCUGGAAGUCAUCCCAGCAUCAAUUCAGCCAAUACUGAGGUCCAGAAAAAUGUAACCUGAGAACUUGCUCCAAAAUUAAGGUUCUCAUUUGAGAUUAGCAGACACAAACUAUUAUAUGUAGAAUGUAAUUUAAAAAAACAAGGUCCUACUGUGUAGCAUAAGAAACUAUAUUCAAUAUUCCGCAAUAAACCAUAAUGGGAAAGAAUAUGAAAAAACUUACAUAUGUCUAACGGAAUCACUUUGCUGUACACCUGAAACUAACACAACAUGGUAAACCAACCACACUCCAAUAAA